CUCGAUUUUACUUGGACUGGCAAUUAGGCUUGGUAGAGGGAGCUGCCAGUCCACACCCUUCCGGCAUGGGUAUUCCCUUUUACCUGAGGUGAUCACAGGUGAUAGCCUGGACUUUGGGGGAUGCAGUGACGCCUGGGAAAGUAGGGUCACUAGGUCAGAGUCGGGAGGACUGCUAGACCCCUACCCCCAAAGGUACUGGACUUGAUACUACCUGAGAGGCUGGAAAAGCCGCAUGUUGGUUAACAGGGUAGGAACGGCGCUUUAGCUGAGGUAGGGAAAUUAUUUAUGUUUAGUGAGAGCCUAGACGGGUAGGUGUUCAUUUGUAUUGUUUUGUGUGUGCUGGUGUUAAAAUAAAUACACUGUUUGGACACGAGAAUCUGUUGUCUGGCAAGGUAUCUGUGAGAAUGACCCUGGAAAAG